CAUUAUUGUGACCUAAUACAGGCGUGCUGACCCGGACACUGGCAGACACUGUUGGAAUUCUUCUCCUGGCCUAUUAGCCCAGGGUCUGCCCCACCUACUAGAACACUGAUUUAAUCCAGCUCAGCCAGGACAGGCAGCCCACCCUAAGGACUGGUCCCACCCAACACCAAGCCCUUGGGCAACUUGUCGGCCUGCAUAGGCUGGGUGCCUGGAUCCUCUGCAGCCAGUGGCAACUGAGUUUUCCUGCUGAGGAUUUGGGUUCCCAUGAGCAUGGUUGCAGUUUUCUUAGGCCAACAGCUGAAGUGCAAGGAUUUUGCAAGGAGGAGUUUCACACCUUGUGCAGUUUUUCCUACUACUGUCCACCUGAACCCCUGGGAAGGAGGAAGGCUGGCAGCUUCUCUGACAAUCAGCCACCGCUUUUUCCUAUCAGUCCACAUGGACCCUUCUGUGCCUACUUCAUCAUCUGGACACCAGCCUCUGUUUUCCCUUCUACUCAGUGGCCUACUGCCCUCUCUUCCACAACUACUGAUUAACAUCUGCCAAAGGGGCAUCAGGAAAGUGAGAGUGCCCUUUGUGAAAUCUGCCAAGGGAGCAAGAUGUGGCUGCGGUGACAGAGAGAGGGGAAGGAUGACUCUGGAAUGCUGGUGGAUUUCAUGGAUAUUUCUUUGAGAAGGCUUCUUUGUGGCUGUGAUAGAAGCUGGGGCUACAUCAGAUUCUAUGCCAGGGUGCCUGUCUUACAAGCUAAAUGUGGAGGCAGAACCUGCAUUCAAAAAGCUUGGGUAGCAGUGGAGGAAGGAGGUUGGAGUAAAGAUCUGAUGGACGGACAGCAGUCCAGAUGCAAUAAAGGAAUUUACUCUUUUAUAAUUGUAGAAAUGAAUAUAAAAAUAAAAUUCUAUGUGUGCCUGGUUAAUGC
rnacentral:lncRNA from 1 species